GAUCAUGGCUCAGGAUGAACGCUAGCUACAGGCUUAACACAUGCAAGUCGAGGGGCAGCGGGAUUGAAGCUUGCUUCAAUUGCCGGCGACCGGCGCACGGGUGAGGUAACGCGUAUCCAACCUUCUGUACACUCAGGGAUAGCCUUUCGAAAGAAAGAUUAAUACCUGAUGGUAUGAUGAGAUUGCAUGAUAUCAUCAUUAAAGAUUUAUCGGUGUACGAUGGGG
rnacentral:rRNA from 1 species